UACGUAGGCAGCAAGCGUUGUUCGGAAUUACUGGGCGUAAAGAGUGUGUAGGCGGUGUUCUAAGUCUGUUGUGAAAUCUCCCGGCUUAACUGGGAGGGUGCGGCGGAAACUGGAAUGCUAGAGGAUGGGAGAGGUAAGCGGAAUUCCUGGUGUAGCGGUGAAAUGCGUAGAUAUCGGGAGGAACACCUGUGGCGAAAGCGGCGCACUGGACCACAUCUGACGCUGAGGCGCGAAAGCUAGGGGAGCAAACAGG
rnacentral:rRNA from 1 species